rnacentral:lncRNA from 1 species
UUUACGAAUGAAAAACACAUCUAAUGACACUCGAAUAUUUAACUUUUUAAAAUAAGUUGCAUCAUAUAACUCAAAUGUCAAAUAUAUUUAAGAAUUGUUUGAAAUUGAGAUAGGUGACCUAGUGAAAAAUUAUCAAUAUUGGGUAAGCUCGGAAAAUACGGGGGAUGCUAUAAACAAUUUUUUUUAUUAAUUUGAACAAAUUAAGGUAAG